AUUAUUUCCCCUGCAGCUGCUGAGUAACACACCGUCUUUUACAAUUUAAUGAUGUGGAUAAUGAUCAGAUUCAGGAGCUGGUGAUGAACACUCUGUCUUGAGGGGUGAAAGCUGAGAAGAGGAAGAGCGUAUAAAGCAGACAGAGAGAGGAUGAAAGGCGAUCGCUGGGACUGUUAGCGGUGGACAAGAGAAACACACAAAGGGAAGCGGAUAGAGAAAGAAGCACCGAUGCUCUUUCUCCAUGUUCAGCAAUGGACUCUGCUGCCUGUGCUUCAUACUGUUGUGUUAUUAGGUAAGCAUGUUGUGCAAUGAUGAAUGUUAUGACAUUUCUGAAACAUUGUGGUCAAACCACAAUUAAUGUGACCAAGACACACAACACACACAUUUGUCAAGCUGUACCUGGUUGUUUAAUCAUGUAUGUUUAUACCACAGAAGAAAGCUUGUGUUGCAUGAGCGGCGGAGACUCGACUCUUCAACAGACUGAAUGUCUGACGGGAAACAAAUCAAAGGAAAUUCGCCAUUUGCCUUUAAUUAGAGUCAGUGUGUCUCUGACAGGGUAAUUGCUUCCACGGUUGCUUCUCGUUGUCGUUGGACCGCAUCAAAGCGCUCGAGAAGGAUGUUUUCCUUUUCUUCUGAGGACUUCAGAAACUCAGAGACAA